UACGUAGGGUGCGAGCGUUACUCGGAAUUACUGGGCGUAAAGCGUGCGCAGGCGGUUUUGUAAGACAGGUGUGAAAUCCCCGGGCUUAACCUGGGAAUUGCGAUGGAGACUGCAAGGCUAGAAUCUGGCAGAGGGGGGUAGAAUUCCACGUGUAGCAGUGAAAUGCGUAGAGAUGUGGAGGAACACCGAUGGCGAAGGCAGCCCCCUGGGAUGAUACUGACGCUCAUGCACGAAAGCGUGGGGAGCAAACAGG
rnacentral:rRNA from 1 species